ACACCUUAAGCUUCAAAUGAGGUUAUGGCACUGCUGUCUUGCAACUGGGCUGUGUUCAAAAGUGGGCACAAGUUCUGCAGGAAGGGCUUGGAAGGCAAAAUGGGAAGAGCUUCAGUCCUGCACAUCUGGAGCUGUACAGUGCCCCACCAGGAAAGGAAGAUGUUUAUGGCAAGUGUAAGGAUAAAUAUUUACCAGAGCUCAUCUGUAACAACAGAGCAGGGAAGCUAUUUAAAAACAAUAACAACAAUAAAGCAAGCAGCCAA